rnacentral:lncRNA from 1 species
GAAUUAACUAAAUAAAAGACAAUUAUUUUAUUAAAAAAUAUUUUAUCUGUAUAAGAAAAUUAGUUAGGCAUACUUAAAUCGAGAGCAAUAAAAUAAAUAAAAUCAACCACAAAAAAGUUCGAACGACAUUGCUGCUACUCUUUCUCUUCUGCUUCUUUUUUCUGCAUCUCGCUAGACAUACUUAAAUCGAGAGCAAUGAAGUAAAUAGAACCAACCAUGAAAAGGUUGGAACGACAUUGCUACUACUCUUUCUCUUCUGCUUCUUUUUUCUGCAUCUCUCGGCCUGUAUCUCAAUUAUGCAGCUUGCUUGUCUUUUUAUAAUACACAUGACAGCCUAUUAAGCUUAUAUUCUUCGUUGAUUUCUGAUUACAAUUUUGUAAGCCAAGCCACUGACUUUAAGUUGUAAAAGGCUCAAACCCUUUUUUUUUUUAAUUCUCUGUUUCCUCUUCUUCACGUGGCAAUAAUGGUAAGAGAUAAUGCUUUAAUUGGAAAAUAUUAAUCUCCGAAUCUUCAAUUCUGGAUCUUUUAUGCACCUUUGUUUUCCAAUCUUCAAUUAUUUCCCGGUUCAUAAAUAAUUUAAUUAAUUAAAAAUAACAGAUAAAAAUAGUUAAUAAAUAUAUCAUUAAUGGUAAAAUAUGUAUAUAUUAUAUGCUCUGUCAUCUACAAAUGUGAGAAAAAAAAUUUCUGAUUGGGAAAACAAAAUGAAAUAGAUACGGAGCUUAAAAGCUAAUAUAUAUAUAACGGAGAUUUGAGGAACCGAACCUGGCAAGAAGCCUCACGACACUCAAUUUUCGCCCAUGAAUGCAGCGAACAAUAGCAUCUAAGAGAAUAAGCCGGUGAGAGUUAUAUCUACUAGGUAUAUUUGAAAACUUCCAUUCCUAUGGGAUACCUACAGCAUGAUUUGAAUCAAAAGUCCCUUUAAUCCACAAAUAUCCUCUCAAAUAGGAAUGGUAAAAAUCCCUACGGGGACGGGUAUCUUUAGGGAUUUUUUCUAUUUGGAGAGGAUAUGAGGAUAAUUUUAUACCUAGUUUUUUAUUCGAAGAAGAGAUGUGGAAAUUUUUUUACUCAAUUUCUUAUUCGGGGAGAGAUCGGGGAUGAGGUAGCAUCUCCAUCCCCUAUCCAUUUCCCCAUUUUAAUUUUAAAUUUUAUUUUUACUUUUUUAAAAUUAGUAGUAAAUAAAUAAUAAAAUUUGAAUUAUAAAAUUAUAAAUAUUGGUAAAAAUAACAAAUAUCAAAAUAUUUAUAUUAUUAAAUUUUUAGGCCUAAUUAACUAAUUAAAGUCUUAAAUUUUUAUUUAGCACAUUAAAAAAACCGGAUAAAUUCUAUUAGCCCAAAAAUUUUGUUUUAAUUUUAAUAUUCAUUAAAUGUUUUAAACUUAAAUCUAUUUUUAUUUAUUUUUAGAUGUUAUAAUUGCCCACAGCGAAUCACAAUUUUAAUAUCUAAUCUAAUCUAAUCUAAUCUAAUCUAAUUUAAUCUAAUAUUUGCUCUUGAUUUACCCCGACUUAACUAUUGUGCUGUAAAGGGAAUAAUCCACAUUUAUAAAGUGUCCACGCCACCAUUGAAAAAAUUAAUUUUGAAUCUAAAUUCAAUUUUAUUUGUAACAAUUUUAUAUUAGACUAUUAAUUUAUUCACAAUAGUUUAUAAAAGAAGUUUGUAUCCCUUACAUGUUGUGUUACUUACUAAUUUAAUGUAUGUGACUUUUGUAAUGGAUAUUAAUGUAAGAUAUAUUUCAAACUUUACUUUUAUUUGAAUUUUUUAUUUUAACAUGAUUAACUCAAAAUCGAAAACAAAAAAUAUAUUAGUUAUUCGGAGAUCGGGAACCCUCGGAGAUCCCCUAUUAUUAUUCGGGGAGGAGAUGGAGAUUCUCUCAAGUAAUUACGACUGAGACGGGGAGGGAACGGGGACAUACGCAAAAUAUUAGGGAUGUGUACGGAGAGAUUGGUUCCCUCCCCUCCUCUCCCCAUUGCCAUCCCUACUCUCAAUUCAGCCUCCACAAUCAAC